GAUGAACGCUGGCGGCGUGCCUAAUACAUGCAAGUCGAGCGAACAGACGAGGAGCUUGCUCCUUUGACGUUAGCGGCGGACGGGUGAGUAACACGUAGGUAACCUACCUAUAAGACUGGGAUAACUUCGGGAAACCGGAGCUAAUACCGGAUAAUAUUUCGAACCGCAUGGUUCGAUAGUGAAAGAUGGCUUUGCUAUCACUUAUAGAUGGACCUGCGCCGUAUUAGCUAGUUGGUAAGGUAACGGCUUACCAAGGCAACGAUACGUAGCCGACCUGAGAGGGUGAUCGGCCACACUGGAACUGAGACACGGUCCAGACUCCUACGGGAGGCAACAGUAGGGAAUCUUCCGCAAUGGGCGAAAGCCUGACGGAGCAACGCCGCGUGAGUGAUGAAGGUCUUCGGAUCGUAAAACUCUGUUAUUAGGGAAGAACAAACGUGUAAGUAACUGUGCACGUCUUGACGGUACCUAAUCAGAAAGCCACGGCUAACUACGUG
rnacentral:rRNA from 1 species